rnacentral:rRNA from 1 species
GUAGGUGGCAAGCGUUGUCCGGAAUUAUUGGGCGUAAAGCGCGCGCAGGCGGUCCUUUAAGUCUGAUGUGAAAGCCCACGGGCUCAACCGUGGAGGGUCAUUGGAAACUGGGGGACUUGAGUACAGAAGAGGAAAGCGGAAUUCCAAGUGUAGCGGUGAAAUGCGUAGAGAUUUGGAGGAACACCAGUGGCGAAGGCGGCUUUCUGGUCUGUAACUGACGCUGAGGCGCGAAAGCAUGGGGAGCAAACAGGAUUAGAUACCCUGGUAGUCCACGCCGUAAACGAUGAGUGCUAAGUGUUAGGGGGUUUCCGCCCCUUAGUGCUGCAGCUAACGCAUUAAGCACUCCGCCUGGGGAGUACGGCCGCAAAGGCUG